rnacentral:rRNA from 1 species
UACGGAGGGUGCAAGCGUUAUCCGGAUUCACUGGGUUUAAAGGGUGCGUAGGUAGGUUGGUAAGUCAGUGGUGAAAUCUCCAGGCUUAACUUGGAAACUGCCAUUGAUACUAUCAAUCUUGAAUACCGUGGAGGUCAGCGGAAUAUGUCAUGUAGCGGUGAAAUGCUUAGAGAUGACAUAGAACACCAAUUGCGAAGGCAGCUGGCUACACGAAU